AUUGAACGCUGGCGGCAGGCCUAACACAUGCAAGUCGAGCGAGCGGCGGACGGGUGAGUAAUGUAUGGGGACUGCCCGAUAGAGGGGGAUAACUACUGGAAACGGUAGCUAAUACCGCAUACUAUCGGAUAACCCAUAUGGGAUUAGCUAGUAGGUGAGGUAAUGGCUCACCUAGGCGACGACCCCGAGCUGGUCUGAGAGGAUGAUCAGCCACACGGGGGCUAAGACACGGCCCAGACUCCUGCGGAGGCGGCAGUGGAGAAUAUUGCACAAUGGGCGCAAGCCUGAUGCAGCCAUGCCGCGUGUAUGAAGAAGACCCUAGGGUUGUAAAGUACUUUCAGUCGGAAGGCGUUACCGACAGAAGAAGCACCGGCUAACUCCGUGCCAGCAGCCGCGGUAAUAC
rnacentral:rRNA from 1 species